GCCAAAUUACUUUUUCCUUUUUUUUUUUCGUUUUCGUUUUCGUUUUCUUUUCUUUUCUUUUCUUUUUCCUUUGAUUUAGUGCCUUUUGUUUACUUACAGCAGCACUGAAGAGUAAGGAAAGAAAAGAAAAAAGAAGAAA
rnacentral:ribozyme from 14 species